UUGAUUCCUACUUUCUUCAGUUUUGUUUC
rnacentral:sRNA from 1 species